rnacentral:rRNA from 1 species
UACGGAGGGGGCAAGCGUUGUUCGGAAUUACUGGGCGUAAAGGGCGCGUAGGCGGCCACCGCAAGUCGACUGUGAAAUCUCCGGGCUUAACCCGGAAAGGUCAGCCGAUACUGCGGGGCUAGAGUGCAGAAGGGGCAACUGGAAUUCUCGGUGUAGCGGUGAAAUGCGUAGAUAUCGAGAGGAACACCUGCGGCGAAGGCGGGUUGCUGGGCUGACACUGACGCUGAUGUGCGAAAGCUAGGGGAGCGAACGGG